rnacentral:rRNA from 1 species
ACGUACACUCCUGCGGGAGGCAGCAGUGGGGAAUAUUGGACAAUGGGCGCAAGCCUGAUCCAGCCAUGCCGCGUGAGUGAUGAAGGCCCUAGGGUUGUAAAGCUCUUUCACCGGUGAAGAUAAUGACGGUAACCGGAGAAGAAGCCCCGGCUAACUUCGUGCCAGCAGCCGCGGUAAUACGAAGGGGGCUAGCGUUGUUCGGAUUUACUGGGCGUAAAGCGCACGUAGGCGGACUAUUAAGUCAGGGGUGAAAUCCCGGGGCUCAACCCCGGAACUGCAUUUGAUACUGGUAGUCUUGAGUUCGAGAGAGGUGAGUGGAAUUCCGAGUGUAGAGGUGAAAUUCGUAGAUAUUCGGAGGAACACCAGUGGCGAAGGCGGCUCACUGGCUCGAUACUGACGCUGAGGUGCGAAAGCGUGGGGAGCAAACAGGAUUAGAAACCCCGGUAGUCCCAUGAU